rnacentral:tRNA from 1 species
GGGCCUAUAGCUCAGUCGGUUAGAGCAGCGGACUCAUAAUCCGUUGGUCCACAGUUCGAGUCUGUGUGGGCCC